rnacentral:rRNA from 1 species
GGGCGUUAAGUUGCAGGGUAUAGACCCGAAACCCGGUGAUCUAGCCAUGGGCAGGUUGAAGGUUGGGUAACACUAACUGGAGGACCGAACCGACUAAUGUUGAAAAAUUAGCGGAUGACUUGUGGCUGGGGGUGAAAGGCCAAUCAAACCGGGAGAUAGCUGGUUCUCCCCGAAAGCUAUUUAGGUAGCGCCUCGUGAACUCAUCUUCGGGGGUAGAGCACUGUUUCGGCUAGGGGGUCAUCCCGACUUACCAACCCGAUGCAAACUACGAAUACCGAAGAAUGUUAUCACGGGAGACACACGGCGGGUGCUAACGUCCGUCGUGAAGAGGGAAACAACCCAGACCGCCAGCUAAGGUCCCAAAGUCAUGGUUAAGUGGGAAACGAUGUGGGAAGGCACAGACAGCCAGGAUGUUGGCUUAGAAGCAGCCAUCAUUUAAAGAAAGCGUAAUAGCUCACUGGUCGAGUCGGCCUGCGCGGA